AGUGGGGAUCGGACAGCAGCGACAGAGGGGUCAUAGCGUUGAACUUGUUAGGAGAUGCCUGAGAGAUUCACUAUGGUGAUGACUAGUGGAAUUGACGGACAUGAGGGAGAACAGGAGACCCUAGGUGGUGACUCCUCCUCGCCCCCAUCAGAACAGCGUCUGGGCCAGGGGAAAGAGGCCUCCCCCUAUCCGGACUCCUCCUCCCCCUCUUCGGACUCCUCCCCCCCCUACCCGGUGUCCUCCUCGUCCGAUGGGGAAGAACAUAUGAGACAGAUGGUGAACAGAUGGUUGGAGGCAAAUGAGGAGGGGGACGACCCGAUAUUGGUCGCAGAGUGCGAGCUGUCAGCACCGAACCCGGGCCAGACCCCCCCGGACCCAGGCCAGGCCUCCCCGGACCCAGGCCAGACCUCCCCGGACCGAGGCCGGACCCCCAUGGACCCAGGCCAGACCCCCCAUGAACCUGGACCCCAACACCAGGGAGAGGGCUCAGGCCCUUUUGGGGCCUGGCUGCCUCCCAGAGUCUGGCCCCCCAGAGAGGACCUGGCCCAGGCCAUGGGGACCAUGAGGGUGUGGGCGAGGGGACUCAGAAACAACAGGGUUGAACCAGCACCCCGGCUGGAUGAGGAGGAGGAGAAGCCUCUGGGCCGCCCUUCACGCAACCCCUUCCUUGGCCAGACCGCCCCGGCCCCAGGCCAGACCGCCCCGGAACAAGGCCAGAUGCCCCAUGAACCUGCAGACACGCCCCCAAGAAAGGAUCUGUCCCAGGUCAUGGGGAACGUGAGGUUCUGGGCGAGGGGAAUACGAAGGCAGAGGGUUGAAACACUAACCACCACCCUGCCGGAUCAGGAGGAGGAGAGGCCUUUGGGCCGCCCUUCACGCCGGAACCCCUUCGGACGCAUAAAGAUGGCCUGGGCCGAACGCGCUACCAACAGCCCCCAGAACAACCGUGAACAUGAAGAGCUUGUUAACAAGGCUGAGGAGGAAGUAGAAGCCAAACAGGAGGCUGAGGGGAAGGGUAUCAGGCAUCGGUUCAACAAGUGGCUGAACCUCAGGUUCAAGGGGCGCCUGCCAAGUGUGGCUGCCCUGUUCAAGUGUGGGGCGUAUGUCCUGUAAAAAAAAAAGAAGAAAGAAAAAUAUCUAUUUAUCAUGCAAAAAACACAAAUAAAUAUUAUGCACGAUAAAAUGCAUUACGG
ensembl:lncRNA